UCAGGCAGGCCUGGUCCAGCCAGGGGUCCUUGCUAUCACACGCAUGGCGAGUCAAGGCCUGCGAGCGGCACAGGCCUCCUCUUGCUGUGAACCAGAGCAGGGCUCACGCCGCCAGAUCCCCACAGCCUUGCUCCUCUCCGCCCGGCAGAAGUUAGAAAAACAUCCCAUGGCCCAGUGAUGACGGCCUUCGUGCCGAGGUGGCUGGAGCCUGAGUCACCCCACGUUCAUCCAUACCUGCCCGCCGGCCCGGGGUGACCACUGACCGGGUGACACCUUCGAAAAGCUUCAGGAUGGCUGUUUCCUCUUUGGGAGGAAACCCAAUUAAGUUAUGUUGAAAUAUCGCCUGUUAUGAGAAGGGCUCUGCCAAUUUAAAGCAAUUUGCGGCAAUCAGGGGCCCUCCAACGAAACGAGCCCCAAACGGCGAGUCGAACGACACGCACAUUUUUCAGAUGUUAGUCACUGUAGGAUUAUUUUGAAAUAGUUGUGAGUCAAAGAUCAGUGUGAUUUCCACAGUUACAGAAAAAAGGAAAACAAACCCAAAUCAAAUAUACUUGUUUCUUCGGCAUAACAACAACGUUAAGCAAAACUCGAAAGCCACUGCGUGUAUUUUUUUGAAGCAAAACUGAAUUCUGCCCGAGUUCCCAGCUCCUACGGUUCCCUCUCCCCCUCUGCUUGUCCUGGCACUAAGCCAAUAUCAAAAAAUCCCAACCUAUUUUUGCUCAGUCUUCAGGGAGCUACACCAAGUCCCUUGAAGCCGUUAACCCCCAAAUUGUUCAAGCAGUGGUGGCGUCGCAAGGAGCAAAGCAGCCAGGGGCAUGGGGACCGAAGCAGCACAGGUUUGGGGCAGCUUCAGCUGGCAGGGAUCACACCUUGAGAGUUUUGUGGGACCUCUGCUAAAGCUCAGCUAAUGUGGUGUGACAUAAGCAGAAUGUGUGCGCUGUUUCUUUUCUUUUGAAGUGGGACAAAAAAGAAAAUUCCCGAUGUCUUUUCUUCCAAAGAGUUCCCUUGAGAAAUUUAUGAAGCUAUUAAAACUUGCUCUCCACUAAAAACCUAAAUAUGUAAACUUCAACAGUAUGACCCUGAUAUUGUAUAAAGCAAAGAAAAUCUGGAUCUGAGAACAUGAGUGCAUUACAAAAAUGAUAUUUAAGCUCCAAACAAACUUUGAAAUCUGUGGGUUCCUAAGAACAGUUUCAUGCUUAUGUGCUAACUCUUCCUCUGAGUCUGCCCUCAGAGGCCAGGAGCUGACUGGCAGAGCAAUGUUACCCAGCUGAAAUCAAGUGUGGUCCCAGGUGAACUUAAGCAACUCUAGCUCAAAUGUAUAUAAAAGGGGCUAGAAGGAAGUUGCUUGAUUUUGGAGUGUUAUAAGUAGCAGGUCUGUAUCCCUCUUAGCACCCCCUUUGGUGUGGGUUUUCUCAUUUUUUUUCUUUUCUCUUCUUGCUUUUAAAUGCUAUUGUAGGAUUUUUUUUUAUUAUUAUUUCUUCUGUAUAGGACUUAUUGACUAUCAACUAGAACAAAAAAAGGCAUAAUGUAAUAGUACCGAAGAUGUGAAGAGUGUGGUCUAUUGAGGAAAGAAGUAUCAAGCUAUCAGGCUCUUACUCUGAAGAGAUGUUUUGGGUAAUGAACAACAGGAGCUUCUGCAUGCUUGGAGUUUCAAAAAAAACCCAAGCAGGUAACAACAGAAAAGAGCAAUGCUCUUCUGUAUCUAACUAUCUGAGAUCUUCUCAAGUUGUGUAGGUGUGGAGAGCAUGAGAUAAGCAGGAUAUAGUUAGCAGUGUGAAUUAUAAACCAUGACUCCUCUUAGUGAGAAGCUGAAGGCGGCCCUACAAACCAUAUCAACUCAGGAGGAGAAAUGAGGACACUGUGCUAGGGACAAGAAAUCUCCCAAACUAUGCUGUGGGGGUGGUUUGUAUGGGUAGGGGGAAAUCAACGGCAGUUGAGGAUAGGGAAAAAUCUCUUCCAUUACACAGCACAUCCAGACAAACCAAAUUAAGUACCUGGGGGUUGCUACGAGAGAUGAGCUGCUCUACCACUUCUAAUAAAGUCGGGUCUCUUACUCUGAAGGCAAAUACACCGUAUAUAGCCAAAGGAUUAAUGUAUGUUCCGUGGAAAGAAAAACACUGCUCAAAGCUGUCCUGAUUAUUUGGCAUCUAUGUUGCAGGAGGACUUUGAAGCCAGAUAGGUCAAAGUCCCUUAGAGCUAUGUGCUGUUCCAAAAUAAUGACCAGUCCCUUCCCUGGGGAGCUUAAAAGAUGCAUUUCUUAAACAACAGCUACUCUAAUGUUGUUCCGUGUAAGUUCUUUCAGAACUCAAUGCGUAUAUAAGUUGUCUAUUUGUAACGAGGGCAGAAAUUGAGAGAAAAAAAAUAUCCAAGAGAGCUACAGCUUCAUCUCCUUUCUGCCCUAUAUUUGUGGAUGUGUUGGUACAACUCAAAAUCCUGGCCUCCAGCAGAGUGACAUUCUUUGUGAUUUUUCAGCCUCUGUGUAUACAUGAGUCAAACUGCCAAAGCAUUUUGAAAACUAUCCAGCAGACAGCCCUGAAUCACUCCUCCUUCCUCUGCACAGUAACAGCUUACUGUCCAUCCACUUCCAUGCAGUAAUCCCUCACCAGGGUUUAAAAACCUUACCGGCUGACAAGGCCAGAGCAUGUGCGUGUGUUUGUUUAUAUAUGUAUUAUAUAUGCAUACAUACACACAGAGGCAUGUGUUAUUUAACAUUGGAAAGUUGGACUCCAAGCUGGAAAACAGAACAGUUUUUAAUCUAUGUAUCUUGUAAACAAGGCUAAAUGGUUGCAAAGGGUGGAGAGGAAGGCUACUGCUCUGUAAUAAGCACGCUCCAUUUUCAUACAAGUGUCAGACAAGUCUCAUCUCAGGCUCCCCAAGGAGAAGAGAAAGUACAGCCAAUGCCCACAAAUACAAAAACUGGCUUUUGGAGUACUUUGAGCUGAAGAGCAAAAAAAAAAAAAAAAAAAGGGUGAUUGUUCAAUGGUAUGUUAUGGGGGUUUAAAACAUAACUGAUAAUAUAUGUACAGAUAUAUUAGCUUAGGGUAUGUUAGUGUAUAUACAGUAGCUAGUGUAUAUACUAGCAAGAAAAUAUGUAUGGAGAACUGUGAUAGUCUUUGCUUGGAUCUGAAUUUUUUCCUCGUGCAUUCCUGCAGGAAUGUGUUCAACCGCCUCUCUAGCCAUUGCAUCUACCAGGAGCUCAGUGAGCGCUGGGGGUCUGUCAACAAAGGUACUCUCUCUCUUCAAUUUCUUAUUCCAAGCAAUGUGAUUGGUAAUAGAGGUUAUCAGUGAAAUGAAUUAAAAUACCUCUUCAUAGUGGUUUUUUUUUUUUUUAUGAGUAAGAGAAAAUAGGCUUUCUGUUAUGGUCAUUUCCCAAAACUGAGGUUUCAAACAAGCUUUGAAAGUACAGACAAAAUAAAUAAAUAGAGGCUACUUGAACACAAGUAAAUGUCCUACCAACAGCAUAAAAAAUAACAGAGGAAAAUAACAAAGAGGAAAAUACCACAAGGCAAAAGACCAAAUUUGAAGUUAAUGUUAAGUCUUAGAAAUAACAGCUACAAUUUUGAGCUGAGUACUAUGGAGCUAGCAACAAACUAUGCAGUCCACAAACGCAACUGAAAAAAAAUCCUUUGUUUUAUAAACCUAUAAAAAGAUGUAUUUCUUUUCCUAUCAUCCAUUCAAGAAAACUGUUCCUCGUGAGAUGGCACACUGACUCUGCAAUACAGAGAGUUUCUCUACGUGAACUCAGUAGGACUGUUGUAGGAGUGAUCUCCACUCAUUAGCAAUCUUUUCUUUCUCAGAAAGAGCCCCAAACCACAUAGCCAGGGGAACUUUGGAAAUCUGCAGCAUUUAGGAUCAUUUACUUCUAACUUCUUUCAAGUCUGUAGCAACAGAAACUUUGCCUCUACUGUAAUGUGUAGACAGAGCCUCAGCACUGUUUGCUUUUUUUAAAACAUAAUCUGUGCUCCAAGUGGAAAAGACAGGACCUUGCUUGUGGAAUGCUUUUAGCAAAUUACAUCCGCUUGUAUUCUUCUCGACUCCUAACAUAUUUAAAAAUACAGCAAGGUAAUAUGGAGGUUGUUUUGAACCACAUCAGUCACGCAUCUGAAAACAAACGUGCUUUACUGAGAGUUAAGAUAACUUUGUUAGGUCUAGCUCCAGGAUUUCACUUCCUUAACUUGAAGCUCUCUUAAGAGUCUACACACAUUGCAAGCUGAAUGCUUCAUUAAAACCCUGCUCUGCUCCAUCAUCAAGGUAAAUACUAGAUGUAGAAAAUAUUUCAACAUAUUUCAUAUAUUCAUAUUUCAAAAUAUUUCAACAAAAGCAGCUUGCUUUGGCCUUACUUGCAACUAUCAAAGCCUCAUCUGGCAGAGCUCCUUCAAGGCCCAGAGUGUAGCUUUAUAUCACAAUUGACGCAAUCUUCUCCCACCCACGUAAUGGGGGGUGGGUCAGGGAAGCAAAAUAAGUAGAAGACUAGGAAGACUUAAGUCAUGGGAUCUCUAUACUAAUGCUGAGAGAAUGAGAAGCUGUUAUUCCCAGCUGUAAUCAGUCAAGAGGCAUCCCUUCCCUGACAAGCAGAAGGGAGCAGAUUCUUACGACAGUGCUGCCUGGCAGUGUUACCUCUUUGGUCAUCAGCAGAGACUCAGACAACCACCAGGCUUCAAAGAAGCUCACACAGGCAGGAGGAGUCUUCAUGGAGCAACUGUUGUCUUGGGCUGACGAUUUAGGGAGUGCUAUAGUCUUUAUCACUGGUGGCAACUCUGUGAGAGACUGACUGCAGGAUUUUGGCCUUGCACCCACCCGCUCCAGCUAGUGAGCCCAGAAGCAUGGUGACAAGGCCAUGUCAACAACAAGCACAGGGACAAUACAUGGAACGUGUCCAAAUCUUGCCCUAGUUUUUAUUCCAUGCAGUACUUAGAUUAGGCUCAGCAAGAGGAGGCUAUUUAAGUUUCAUAUGCUCAGUUUAACAGGCAAUCCUCUCUUUGUUCAUCAGUGAGCUCCCCGUCAUGCAAGAGGUGCAGCAGUGUCUGGCAAAUCCCUGUGAAGUGACUGUGCUCAGGGACUGAGGACACGUUCACCGUCACCCUAACUUGCUUCGUUUUCAGUAGAAAAUUGCCUGUGCCUGGCACGCUGAUUAGAGCGCUGUCUCUGCUCACCCACGUGCUGUCAAGCCCCUGCAAGGCAAGCAAAACAAGAUGUUCAGCUGGGUGCAGCGACGUUCAGCAACCACAUCCUGCGAGGCUUCCCACCUCCUGCUCAUCUGUGGCAUUGCUUGCCUUGACACGGAGUACAAGCCCGAGCACAGUGAAAUUCAUUUGCAGGGGGAAUCAUGCAAUGCAAGAGGUAGCCAGGAUGCAGCAGCUGAUAGCAACUUCAGUGGUGGCGGGGUCCCAGAGGGCUUCACAUUAUCACUUCAGCGACGAUCAUAAAAGCCAAGAGAAGCACAGAAAAGUCACAAAAAAAAAAAAAAAGAAAAAGGAGCAAAAGCCAAAGGGAGGAGUGGGAAGGGAGGGAACUAGCUGUAUUCUGUUAAUUUCAGAGCCAACUGGCACUUGACUGAAAUGCUAAUUGCCCUACUGACAUACACCCAUGAGUUAUUUCCCCCCGUUUCCUCAUCUCCUUUAAAUGAAGUAGUGAGGCUUUCCUUAAAUUGCAGGUAAUGCAAGAAAAUCCAGGUUUCCGCCCUUCCUUUUCCUUUAUGUCACAGCCCCGUUUACAAGAACAGCUGAACCUUUUACUGCGUGGAAAUACUAUGCAGUAUUAAGUAGUUACUUGAAUUUCUGUAUUAACAUUUUCAGUUUUACUUAGAAAGAGCAGCUUCUGCUCUAUUUGAAAUGGUCUGUUACCUCUCGUUGUGUACACGACCUCUCCUGAACAUCUGCAUCCAGUCCCGGUAAGUAAUGCCUGCCUUUGUUCGCAGGUGUUUUAUACCUGUAACCGUAAGGAGGGUUCUUAGGGACUAGUUUACAUGCAAAUAUGUGGUAGGUACCUGCUCAAAAGCAAAGCUCCAUUUACCAGACAUGCAUACCAGGCUCAGUUAUGGGACAAGGAGAGAAGACAGUUUCAACAGCCAGCCUGUAAAUAAAUCUCACCAGGAGCCCCCAGAGGGAUGGUUUAAGCAGCAUGUUUAUUUACACGAGUGUCCCACACCAUUUCAAAGAAGUGACCCACUUGCAGUGCCUCCCCAGCCCCUGGAGAGUGCUGAUCUGUUAAUGAGAUGGGGCAGUGUGGCUUAAAGGAUUAAGAACUAAAGUCACUGGGGGUCUGGGGAAGGAAGCAGCCACUGCGGCUGCCUGAUUCGUGGCAAACAUUGAGACAAAACACUGUCCUGGGCUGUGAGCACAGAAGAAAAGCAGCGGUGUGUGGCUGCAGCUGAGAGCAGGUUUUCUUGCUACCUGCUUGACAUUGAUAGGACCAAGGAGAUGGAAAACUUCCAAUGCUGAGAACUGAGUAGGUUCAAAGUGUUGGAGCUUACUAGCAUCGCUCCCAGCCUCUAGGGAAGGGACUGUUGUAUUGACAAACCUAAUCCUACACCUCACUUCAUUCAGCCACUCACUCGGAAACAAAGAGCCUGUUCAGGUUGCCCUGAGCCAACACCUUGGCUCAUUCAGCUCCUUGGGUUCAAUAACUGGAGAGAAGCUGGCUAUCGAUCCGUCUUUUGAGCAGAACCACACCAGAAUUAUUAAUUCGCACACUCCACUGCAGCAGCUCUGAAGGGGCCUGCUCAACAAAUGCUGCUUCCUUUCUUUAAAACACAAUGCCAAUCAUCAAUAACCUUUCAUCCUCCAAAGAAAGUUUGUGUUCGGAGAAAAGAACGAAUGCGAUUAUUUCCGUGGCUACAAUGCUAUCUUAACCUUUCCGUGGUAGGCUGCCAGCGCUCUAACAACAUAAGCAGAGCCCAGCAGCACUUCAGCUACUCUCCCUACCUGAUAGGGAGAUAACAGCCAGCUUAUCUCUCACAAUCUGGUCUUUGCAGCAAUAAUUAACAACGUGGAAGUGUGCCACCACAAAACUUGCUUCAAACAGCUUUAAAGUUACAAAGCCUGCCCUGUUCAGCUAUGGGGAGAUUUGGACUAGUCAAAAUAAAAUAAAAUAAAAAAAAAGUCAAAGAAAAAGCACACCAAUAGUGGAAAGUGUUUUGCAAUCACUGGCACAAAAACCUAGCCCUUUCAUAUUAGAGUCCAGUUUAACUGGGCCGUGGGAUGCUGCACUAGGCCUGUGUGCCCAAAAGUGGAGGAGAAAUAAAAGGGAUUAUUUAAAAAAUGAAGUACUUUCUAGGCAUAAAAAUCCCUUUCUUGGUAGGGUGUAUUUAAAUGUACUUUACUUUUUUAGUCAAAGAAGUAAGAAAGUUUGCCUGAUUGCCAGAAAAAAAGCUAUCAGGUAUCAAAAAUUAGUUCAGCUUCUCCUGUAUUCGAUAAUCCAACUCUUCCCAUGUGCACUUAUACCAAACCUAAGCUCUAAAUGCUAGGUUUAGUUUUAAAAUCAAUGUUAACGAUUAACAUGUACUUCUAGAUGCAUUCCAGAAUGAUGGCAAGUGAGAAAUUAUGCUAAUAACAGCCCAAGACCGUCUCUGUGGGGACCAAGGAAUUCCCAUCUAACAGAAGAACCAGCCCCGAACAUCUGAAGGUUAACUUGCUCCAAGCACCCAUAAAACCUGCCCGCAACGAUGAGGCACACGAGCUGUGACCCCCGGUGGGUGAAGGUGCUGCCCAGCACUGAGGUAUGCCCGUCUCUAAAUCUGAAUUCGCGUAAGGCUAAUUCUGCUGCCCUGAACGAGGAUUAAUGCUCACUCUUAGUCUAUUAGAGUGAAACGUGAAGGAACCCUGCUGUGUAUGCUAGCUAGCAAGGGGCACGGCCAGGAGCUACCCAACUCGGCUCGUUGCUCUGCCGAAAGGUAAGUUAGACUUGGGUGGUUCCCCCGCUCGCCACUGGAAGGGAUUUCAUCUAACGCGCGCUCAUUACCUCACCAAGGAAUACCCUUGGCAAUUUUUGCUGACGUUCCACAAACAGAUCAGUUUUCUGUUCUCCGUCAGCACACAGGCUAGCACACAAGAUGAUUAAAGAGUUCCCUAACAUCUGUUUUCGGAAAGGCCUCCCUGCAGUCCCCUUCCCUCCCCACCACGCCGAGUUUUGGUUGCAGUCCUUCGCUGCAGAUUCGGAGCUAGGCAAGCCAUCGGCUGCUGCUGGAAGAGCUGCAGCACGCGCUGCCUUUCAAGGGUGGCAAUGCCCUGAGACGUGGGGGCAUCCAAGUGCUACGUAAGCUUGCAAAGAAGAAGAUGGUCUCUGAAAGAAGCGACAGAAGAGCCCAAUCUCAGACAGCGGUCCUACCAAGCGGCACUCACCUCCGGGCUGCACACACGCCACUGCUUCGCAGAGACAGCAUCUAAAGCAAGAGCACAGACACAGUGGGUACACAGAGGAGACAGGUAUGGAUUUAGGAAUACUGUAGCACUGUCUAGGUUUUAAAACACAGAAUUUUGUAAGUAGAAAAUACUGUAAAGUUGUACUCAUCUCCCUGCAUACACAUCCAGGGUUACUUUGGCCGUACCUGCAUCUACCACGAGAGGAAUGGCAUCAAUUUAAACCUGAACGGCAGCACCUUCAAAUGCAAGGGGAGCUCAGUUCAGCAGCAUUUGGGGUUACUGCAACAGGCAGAAAAACAUCUCGCAGUCGUCACAGGACUGUUUACUGUCUUCAAGUCAAACCGUACACCAAAAAAUGCAUCAAAGAAUGAAAUGGAUAUCCUAAGGCCCAUAUGUUAGCAGGUCUCAAAUACUUGAUAUAUAUGCUUCUCUCAUCCACUCAAAAUAUUCCUCAUUUAUCUGACAAGCUUCCCUCCUUCCCAAUCUUCCCCUCCAGACUAAGAGGGAGAAGGAUGAGGGUCACUGCACAAGCCAAAAAAAAAAAAAAAAAAAAAAAAGCCUGAAGAUUUAACUGCUCCCAACAGUAAGACCUAAUUUGUCUGGAGGAAAAAAUGCAAGCUAAGGGCAACCUGAUGAUCUGAACCCAGCUCUUCCUGGCACUUAAGACUAUAUUCUGGCAUAUGAGAAGUUGCCCAGCCCUAUUUUCCUUUUGCUUUCUUAACUUUCCACAACAAAAAGGGAUUAGAGGAAAGGCGUUCACAAAUGGAAAUUUCUGCUGGGUGGAUAAUUCAUCCUGUGGUAGCUCUCUCCCAUUUCCAAGGCCAGUUGUAAAUUCAUCUACCAGGGUAAAUACAAAUUGAGUUUUAAGGAAUAGAGGAAGCCAGUAAAGAGAAGUCCCCAGUCCUCUGGAAUUAUGUCCACCACUGCCCCAGCUGGCCUCUUCCUGCCCUGGGCUGGUCAGUUCCUCUCCUCUAAGAAAACGCCAAAGAGAGUGUUUUCCCUUGCCCGGAGAGAACUUUUUGGACAAAUAUUCUGCCUUUGUGUCCCGUGAAAAUCAGUUUUAAGUUUCACAUUUCUCUUUAUCAGCAGGAAGCUCUGUUUAGCAGCAGCCUGUGUCGUUUGUGUACAAGCUGAGCGGUGCAUACCAAUACGUGCUCCGACAAGAAGCUAGCGAACAAGCCCUCUCCGAAAAGCCAGGCAACGUUUGCAGUCUCACAGCGCUGGCAGCAGUUCCUGUCCGUGGUUCUGCCCGCAGAUGGCCGGGUGAUAACGCUAUGCUUUCGCCAAGCAUUGUAACUCUGCUCCUGCUCUCUAUGCCCAAAGCAAGGAGAAAGGCAAAGGAAAUACCCCGUUUGUGGAGGGCACUAUAGAAGAACAAAGGCGUUUGUUUGGGAAGACCCCCUCACCCCAGAGCCACCAGAAAGCUUAAUAACUUCAUGCAAGUGUAAGUCAAGCUGGCUGCAAGAAGGGACCGGAGAGGUGCCAGCCUGCAGUAGUGUCUGUGGAAGAGCUGGUGGUGAGGACGAAGGAUGCACAGGCAGGAGCUUUUGGUUGUGUUCCCAUUGCCCACACGGGCCCCCAGAGACCCUACUCAUCAGCAGGGCUGGAUGGCUGCAGGGUGCUAUGAGGGAUCGGUCAGUUCAGGUCUGUACACCAGCAAAGAUUUACCAACCCUCAAGCUGCAAACGGGGAAAAAAAAGAAAAAAAUGAAGUCCCAUCUGAAGUUCCAUCACCACGUGGAUUCAGAAAGCGUACGUCUCCUCCAGAGGGCUGGCACCUUUAUUCCCAUAUCAGUCCCGCCACCUCCAGCAACUUUUCUCUCUGGAACAAGCACUGCUGACGGUCGUAGGCAAGACAGAUAAUCUGGUGGACAAAGUAAAGCUGUACAAGCGUUCCCAUGGACCUACUGGAAUGGGGGCCAGCCUGCUGCUGCUUUGAUCCUCAGGUAACCAGUUUUGACCCCGCCAUCUUUAACUACCAAUGUCAUAAGCAAGCCUCGCCUUGCUUUCAGCAGCAAGGUGAUGAGCAAAAAGCCCUCCUCUUCCUCUCUCCCCUGGCCCUACUCACAGCGUUGUGCUCAAAGUGGCAGCAUUUCGCAUUCCCCAACGUGUUUACUUUGACAAAAAAAGGAAAAGUAUUUCAUUUCUCUCCUGGUGUGUGACCGUCUGAACACCUUUGUUAACAUGACUGCGUACAAGUGCUGUAGAUCUGUGAAACCUGCCUGCAGACAACACACACAGUGUUAACUUUAUUUGAAAUACACAUCUACACAUCCUAGGAAAUCUGCAGACAGUCCUACAGCCCUUUUAAUCCUAUUUUAUACACCUUUCUCGGGGCAAAUAUCACGUAUAAAGCCCCCUUACCGGCAGGCAGAAAGACAAUAAAACCCUUCAGCGAAAUGCUAAGCAUAACCAGCUACAACGCCGUGCAACCAUAAAACGCCAUUAAUCAUUUACAUCAGGAAAUGCCAAAGUAAGGGAGAACACACAGCCUUAUCUGCUCCUUGUGUACACACGCAGGUUGCAAGCUUUAGUUAAACCAGUCGUUUGCAGGACAUGCAGCCGCUAAAUGGGGUUCUGCUCCCUGGCCCUGGGUGCCGGCUUUGUGUCGCUCCGAAAUCUCCGUGUUCGCUGCCUGCACGAGUGGUGUCUAAAAUUGUCUGCAGCUGCUUUUUCUUAAUCUCGUGGAAUUUUUUUCAAUGCUGAUUUAAUGUCUUCCCUCGAAAGGUAUAAAAAUUGUUUCUUGUAGAACAUCACAUAAGGUAUUUCUGCCUGGUUUUAAUUGUAUUUUAAAUGACUGCCUUUUCAGCCCUAGAGGGAAAGCUUUCUGGUAGUGUCUGAACACUGUUAAAUCACUUCUUGAUCCUCUGUACGGAGAUGUGCAAGUGGCUGCAAAAGUUAUUCUGCUGAACAGGACUCCGGAGCAACUUUUCUGGUGAGAUCUUCCUCCAAUGCACUUCUUUUUUCCUUCAGAACAAUUCCAGGUCGGGUUUUUUGGUUUUCAGUGCUGACCUGGGAGAUAAGUCCUCUCCUAAAUAAUGGGAACCGAGUCACGUCCAGUACCAUGCCAGCACAGGUAGCUGUAACUUUGCCCUUUUGUGAGUGUAUCAAGCUUACAGCAAAACCAGCCAGCGUGUUCUGCUAAAAGCCUACAGUCCCCUCUGCACCUCGCUCUCUGAGGUCUACUCCUGAAAGAGGCACAAAGGGACCCAGUAAAUCCUCUGCAUAUAGAGUCCUUUUGCCAUCUCCUGCAGGUUCCUUGAGAGUUCGCUUUGUCCCCUCUGAGCUGUCUGUUCGUUUUUUGGAGGGGUGUCUUGUGGCUGGAAGUACACGUGUGAAGUUUACUGACACAGACCUGGGAAGCGUGAGCCUUUUAAGAUUCAGAAAUGCUGUCAUCAGAUAAAGAUAGCCACGAAGAAACGUCCUAAAACCCUCUCUGCUUUUACCAUUACAGAUGAGAGGCAGGAGCCGUGAAGACCAAUCACUAAAAGCCACGGGACUGCUCAGAAGAUGAAGUUACACGGUGCCUUCUGGAGAUCCAACAACCACCACUUCUCAAAAACAUGAGCGCCCCGCAGCCUCUGCCUCCUGCUUUGUUUAUUUACCGCCAGGUGAGGGAGCGAAACCGGUUCAGCACAGGACCCAACACAUGCCAGCGCCGGGGCAGGCAGGGCUGGGAGGAGAGCAGGGCUUCCCCUUCUGGCUCCAGCAAAGCGCAGCGCGCUCCGCUGGGACGGUGACAACUCCACGGAGCUUGCCGCACGUUUUGACACGCAAAUUUACAACCCGGUAAAUGGGGGAGAAGGCGCAGCUCUUGGAUCCGUUCGCAAUUUCUACACAGCUGGCUAGGGUGACGGAAGACCCGAUGACAACGCAAACGAGCAGGGCAAGGGUUGGGCAAGCAGCAGCACAGGGAGCUUGCCAGCUUGAGCCACCGGUGGGACACAGCGCACACAGGCAAGUGCAGAGGAGAGUGUUUGUCUGCUUAAGAGCUGUCGAUGUUUCAACAGCUCUAACGCAUCUGCUUGAGGCAGAAGAAACACUCUGUUAGAUGGAGGGAGGCAAGUAACUAGCAUGCAAGCUUUGUCACAGGCCAUUAUCAACAUUAAGCGCUGAAUUAAAAAAAUAUAUAUAUUAGCAGAAGCUUAGCAUUUAACGCUUUAAGUAGAAAAUCCACAGCAAAUCCUCCUGAAUUAGAUCCAGGAGGUAUGAGUAAAAUGUAUUUUAACUCGUUUUUCAAAGUUUUCUGAAGCGCCAUCUGAGGCUCCCAAACAACUGAUCUCCACCAUGAUGUUGGCUUUCUCAGCGCUCUGCAGAUCAGAUGACACCCAGCGCCUCACACACCUGUCUGCAACUCAGAAAUCUCUUUUUGGUAAAUAAAAAGCAAACCGUUUAUUUGCAUUUAGCCCCCCUCUUAAACUUAUGUAACCUGAAAGCCUCCAGCAGACUGAGGCUGAGCUAAGCAGUGGUUUUGUGUGGUUAAAGGAAAUUUGCUCUAGAAUUAUGCAUGUUACCACUUAAAACGGAAUGUUUGCAGAAAGAAGAAAAGAGAGAGACACCUCCCCGUUUGUGCACACUGACUCUGAACAAAAAAGACAGCAGCUGCUGCGAGCUACCUAAAUGUAAGUUUUUCUUUGCGAUGUUUUAGAUUUAAAUUAAGUAAAGAUUCACCCGGGUGUGCAAAUUAAUUAUUUUUUCUCCACUGAUUCCUUCACUUCACUUCCAGAGUCCACACACACCUUGGGGUCACGUUCUGGCUUACUUCUGGUCAGACUGGUGUGAGAGCUAAAUAUUGCUGUGCUUGGCGAACUCAGAGAAAAGCCUGCCUUGCUUUUUAUAAAAAUAAGACCGGUAAUGAAAAACAACCAGAGUCUGAAUGAUAAAAGAAUCCCAGCUUAUCACACGAAAUGAAGUUUUAUAAAUACCCUCGCAAGGCAAGAAAACAAGUAGCAGUCAUAACACCACUUACUUGCGGAGAAUUCCCACUGCAGAAGUUACUGAGCCCCUAGCGACGGCGGGUGGGGAGACGAGAGCCACGCACACGAAACACAGACUGACCGCUCGUGCCUUCCGAGUCAGGCAGCCGAACAGCUGAUUACACCAGAUCCCCUCCUGCCCUGCAAGAGUUGUGCUUUCCUGACAACGACACUGCUACCAGCACAGGGAAAAAAACACCCUUAAAAACGAAAACAAGCUCUAUCAGUAAAAGUCCACUUGUGCAGAUAACUGCAUCUACAGCUGGGGCUUCUGCUGGCACAGCUAUGUCAGUCACGGGUCACACUUCGUCACUGCGCUCGCAGACAGAGCUGUGCCAGCAGAAGUUUGCCAUAUAGACCUGGUGUGAAGCUCAACAGCGAUCAAAGUGAAUCUGCAAAGUUUUGCGUUUUGCAGGCCGCUGCCAAAUGAACUUUUUCCAACAAACAGUCUGAUGAUCGGCAUUCUUGCUCCUGUGUCGUGGGCAUGUUCGCAUCUUGGCUUCCGAGGGGAGAAGAAACCUAAACUUAGCCCAGGAAUGUGGCAAUACCUAUCAUCCAAUUACGUCGUACUUUAAAUUCACAAAUUAAAUUAGAAAGCAAGAGCCCCUGCAGGAAGAAAAGGCACAAGCAAAUAAAUUAAGUUCUGCUGUACUUUAGCACUCAUGGUGCUAAAAAGUUCUUGCUUUUAAUAGCAAGAAGAGAACAAAACCGAAACUGUUUGACGGGAUGUGUUUAGCAGACAGAGAGAGGCAGGCAGCAAAGCACUGCAAAAUUCCCACUGUUCAGUUAAACCGAACAGGCAAACUGCAACAGGCCUUUUAUCAUCUGCAAUCAUCUCUGAAGACAGCGGGCAAGGAGAUUUCAUGCCCCAGCGGAUGCUCGAACAUAAGUUCUGUUCGGAUGAAUCAACACAACACUGCGGGUCAUGCAUAUGGUGAUGCACGUAGUUAUCCCAGGGCAUGGAGCAGCGAGAUGUCACAAGCAUGCACCGCUGAUCUACUCUGGAGCAACAUUACGGGAUAAAGUCGUAAAUAACUCUUUGCUACCCUCCGAGGGAGCACAGUGAGCUCCAGGUGAGCGUUUGCAGUCCCGCAGGUCCCUGCAAACCUGCUUCAAUAACAAGAAGCCGGCCCGAGAUGCAGCAGGGUGGCAGUGGAGACGGCCACGCGCAGGAAGCCAGGUCAAGCUGCUGCGCUGGCACGAAGCGAGCCUCGCACGUACAGCCAGCCUCCACCUCCCGUGAGGCACCGCUAGCGCAUGGCCGCACCUCGUGCGGGCUGCGUUUUGGUGCUCGUCCGUAUGAAUUUCACAGUAACUCGGUGUAUUUAUGGGGAAAACACAGAAAUGAAGUCACCGGCUGUGCUGUGUUUGUAAAGGCCACGCUCCUCCCCUGUCAAAGCCUUCUGGCCCUCCAAAUUCGGAUGCAGCUUCUAGGAAUUCCUGGGGUUUUGUCGCAGAGAAGGCGUUAUGAGAAGGAACAUACUUUGUGGGUUUUUUUCGUCAAAAAACAUGCACCGGGGCACAAACAUCUCGGAGGAACGGCAGGGGCUAAAAAUAGCCGCGUUAUCGUCACUUUCGUUAUCGGCCAUGUCCACACAGGCGAGAAGCGACCUCGAGGCGAGGUGUUUUCCCCUCCAGUGAGGAGCCUUUUCCAGAGCCUGCGUGAAGAGGGCACCCCACAAAGGCCUGCCGAGCUGAGGAAGUGAGGCAGAUGUCGGGGAAGCGUCUGUCUGCUGCAAAACCUUUUGGGCGCCCACACUGUGGCUGUACAGGCCCGUGUCUGAGGGCGGAUGAAGCACGGGAACGCAGAGCCAACACCCACAAUCUGCAGCAGUGACCUUUUGUUGAACAAAUGGGAAGCUCAUGAGGGGAUUCAGAAGUCAUGGAGGAACAGGGUGAAGGAUGUGGGUUGUUACCCGAUCACAGGUGCAUAUUAAGCAGACUCGCGUGGGGCAUGGUGAUCUGGGCUGAGACCCCUUCCAGGUCAGACUUCCAGUGAGCGUGGCAGCCUCUUACUCAGAAGUAGGAGAGCACAAAGGCACUGAAACAGCAAGAGAAUAUGGCAGACUGGGUUAGACCCCCAUCAGAGUCUAUUAAAUCAGUAAGAAGCUUACAGAGAAAAAUUGGACUCGUCUUGUGCUACUGGAAAAUACACUGUUCAGAAAAGAAACUUACAGUGUCAAUGUGAGUCAGAUGUUUCACAAACACUUCAGAGCAAACCAAUAGAAGAGAUAGAUAAACCUCUCUUCAGAGUUCUAAGAAAAAAAAAGAAUUUGGAGAAUAUUCUUGGUCCCAGGUUCAUCAGGGAGGGAAUGAAACUGCAGAAGUCAGCAUGUUUGUAGCCAAAAGCACGUCAGUGUGAAAUAAGUGGGCCCCCUUUAGAGAGCAAGAGACUGGAAUAUAGCGCAUGGUGUAUAUUGGAGCAGCUCAGCAUCCAGAUAAACAGAGUCCUUACAUGCUCCACAGGUAGUUUUGUAGACCAGACAGAUCUUUUCCAAACACAUUUGAAAUGGGACAAGGGUGACUUUGGCCAGAAAAUAGCUUUCUUGAGUUAUUUGGAACAACUGGGAAUUAAUUGACAACUGUUUCCGUUAUUAAUAGCACAAACGUGGCUUUUAAAGCCACGUACCCUGGAACUGGGGUUUCUGGCAGGGCCGAAUUUCCCAGCCAGAAGCAUCGAGUGUCUCCAGAUGAGCACAGCAAGGCUUGGGAGCGGCUGCAGGACGCAGCAGGUUUAAGCCAGGGCCCGACACGCCGGCUACACAAACCACGCAGCUUCAGAGGACAUCAGUCCCUGACUUGGCAGCAGAUGUCUGGGGCAGGCAGAGUUUUGUUAGGGACUCGCAGCACAUCAUUUUGGAGCAGAGCAGCCGAUGUUAACUCACAGGGGAGUUUAUUACACACAGAAAUGUCCCUGGUUGUGAGCACUGUGGCUAGGGAAGCAGGAGGAAAUCGGGGAGUAGCCGCGGCAGGCUGGCAGUGACUCACGCGGUGCAUUUCUCCCGCAACUCGUUCUGCCUUGUUUCUAUUUUAGCAUGUUUACGGGUAAGAUCUGUACGGCACAUUUCAGGUUUCUGGCUGCUGUCAGCUUAAACCGUGAUGAUUUAAACCCUUUCCCCAGCAGCCACCGGCUCGGGGCCAUGGCAAAGCGAUGCGGGGCCUGUCGGGAUUUGGGCAUGGCGGCGGGCGCACGGUGCCUCACGAUCCCCUUAAUACUGUCCACCCAAACCCUCCCUUCACACACAUCACGCCACCCAGCCCCCUGAAAGCACCGAGGGGCGUUUUUUUGGUGCUCGGGCUUUGGACCGUGCCGGGACGGAGGC